rnacentral:rRNA from 1 species
CACGUAGGGGGCGAGCGUUGUCCGGAAUCAUUGGGCGUAAAGAGCUCGUAGGCGGCUCGGUAAGUCGGGUGUGAAACCCCCAGCUCAACCUGGGGACGCCACCCGAUACUGCUGUGGCUAGAGUCCAGUAGGGGAGUGUGGAAUUCCCGGUGUAGCGGUGAAAUGCGCAGAUAUCGGGAAGAACACCCGUGGCGAAGGCGGCUCUCUGGGAUCGGUACUGACGCUGAGACGCGAAAGCGUGGGGAGCGAACGAGG